CCAGAAAUUCCCUCAGCCCACAAGAUUCCCCUCUAGUCCAUGUUCUUUUGAGCUCUCUCAUCAAACCUUUUUUCUCUUCUCCUUCCACAUGUACAAAAUCCCAAUGCACACGCAUCUCACUCCUUUUAUUAAAUGUCUCCAUACUUCUCAUAGACGCUUAUUCUGCACAUCAAACACGCUUAUUCUGCACAUCAAACUCCUUAUGAUAACACCCCUUAAGACCUUAUUCUGCACAUCAAACACGCUUAUUCUGCUAACUCUAUCGAACUGCACCGUAGCUACAAACUACACCGAGCGAACUGCGCGUGCAUAAAAAAACACUAUCCCACCUUAUCUUCUUAUCCACCAAAUCCUCCUUCUCUCCCACGACCACCGUGUCCCCCACGAACCCCCGCUUCACGUCGCACACUCCCCAUCCCCGCCUCGUCGCCUCCUACCCCCGCACCACCGCCCCGCCUCCUUCCCCAGCGCCGCCUCCUACCCUCGCGCCGCCAUGACGCCUCCUUGCCCCGCGCCAUCUCCACUGGGAUCCACUCCAGCAUUCUCCUACGAGCCCGCCACCAGAUCCAUCCAUGGGAAGGAGGGGGGUGACCACGCUGGAUCAGGCCGGCUCUACCGCCACCGACUGUCACCAGAGGUGCAUCGGGCACCCAUCCGCCCCAAGAUCCGCCGAAGAUGCCCUGGAUCCGUUGACCUCCCCCAUCCCCCACCUAGCCUAUUCUGAGAGCAUGAGUGGGAGAGGGAUGGCGCUCGGGGCCGCCUCCUUGGUCCUCCUCGUCGUCCUCUCCCAUGGUGGUGGCAUGGCGUGGCUCUCUAGUGGCCAGCUCCAUUAAUAUUUCUUUCUUCUGCCACUCCCCUAUCCCUGUCAUGGCCUGCAUCGGGGUCUCUGCCAUCGUCGUAUCUCGGCAUCCCCGACCCUGCAGGACGGAUAACAGCUUUAAUGAACUGUCCCCUGCAUGAAGUGCAGUCUGUUCACUUGCGGAGACCAGAGUGCUGUUCAGAAGCUUCCGUUGAGUAUAUUUUCCAGUGUGUUGAUGCAGUUCAUUGAGGGUGAGCCCUCACGGUCUCCGGCAUGUGUCAUGCAGUGCGGUGCACGCGUUCGUGCAGUCCGGUGGAAGUGCCGAUGUAAGAAGUGCGGUGAGCUCCUUGCCGUUGUCGCGGGCUCCUCAACGACACUGGAGUGGAUGGAUUACGGGUCCAGGUUGGCAAUGGCUCUGGUUCUCCAGGGCGAGGGGGCCCUCUUUGCAGCCCAUUGAAGUUUAUUUUACAGCUCGCUGAAAGUUUGUUUUGUAGCUCGCUUGCUGGUAUAGUGCAUGGGCAACGCCUCCGUGCAGUUCAAGCAAUCGCGUGCGUGCAAUGCGGCGAGUGUGUGCGGUUCGGCGACGCAAAGUAUUUGCAUUCUCGCUAUGUUAAUACGUGGGGUUCAGUGCAUUUUAUAAGGGCGACUGCUACAAAUCAUCCGGCAGAUUUCCUAGGGAAAUCAGUCAGGUCAAGCACCGUUAUAGGUGUUGUUGUUUGUGGGUUUUUUGUGUGUCUAUCGAAUGUAUCAAGUUGGUAUAAGAUGUAUUUUGUAUAAAAAAUAUUUGUUAAGAAGUUCAUGUCAAAAAGCAUUAAAUUGGUCACUUUUCAAGAGAAAAAAAAUGGAUGGAUGCACCUCACUUCAA